rnacentral:rRNA from 1 species
UGAGGAAUCUUGCGCAAUGGGGGAAACCCUGACGCAGCAACGCCGCGUGAGUGAGGAAGGUCUUCGGAUCGUAAAGCUCUGUCAGCUGGAAAGAAAUGUCUGAGAGUCAAUACCUUUCAGGCUUGACGGUACCAACAGAGGAAGCACCGGCUAACUCCGUGCCAGCAGCCGCGGUAAUACGGGGGGUGCAAGCGUUGUUCGGAAUUAUUGGGCGUAAAGAGCGUGUAGGCGGCCGGAUAUGUCAGAUGUGAAAGCCCCGGGCUUAACCCGGGAAGUGCAUUUGAAACUGUCCGGCUCGAGUAGGGGAGAGGGAAGUGGAAUUCCUGGUGUAGAGGUGAAAUUCGUAGAUAUCAGGAGGAACACCGGUGGCGAAGGCGACUUCCUGGCCCUAUACUGACGCUGAGACGCGAGAGCGUGGGUAGCAAA